rnacentral:tRNA from 1 species
GGGUUGUGGCUCAGUGGUAGAGCGCCCACCUAGCAUGUGCGAGGCCCUGGGUUUGAUCCUCAGCCCCA